rnacentral:rRNA from 1 species
GACGAACGCUGGCGGCGUGCUUAACACAUGCAAGUCGAACGGAAAGGCCCUGCCUUUGUGGGGUGCUCGAGUAGCGAACGGGUGAGUAACACGUGAGUAACCUGCCCUUGACUUUGGGAUAACUUCAGGAAACUGGGGCUAAUACCGGAUAGGUGCUCCUGCUGCAUGGUGGGGGUUGGAAAGUUUCGGCGGUUGGGGAUGGACUCGCGGCUUAUCAGCUUGUUGGUGGGGUAGUGGCUUACCAAGGCUUUGACGGGUAGCCGGCCUGAGAGGGUGACCGGCCACAUUGGGACUGAGAUACGGCCCAGACUCCUACGGGAGGCAGCAGUGAGGAAUAUUGCACAAUGGGCGGAAGCCUGAUGCAGCAACGCCGCGUGCGGGAUGACGGCCUUCGGGUUGUAAGCCGCUUUCGCCUGUGACGAAGCGUGAUUGACGGUAAUGGGUAAAGAAGCACCGGCUAACUACGUG